GAGCCCUGGGCGCCUGCGGAGGCGGGGAGAGGGCGGGGUGUGCCGCCCUGGUGGGGACCGCGGGGUCGGAGAGGGGACAUUGCCCCCCCCGAGGCGAACGUCCAACCGCGGGUCCGGGUCCCCGCCCAAGGCCGCCCCGCGAGGUGGCCUCGGCCCGGCCGUCCCCGAGGGUGGCUCGGAUCCUUUCAACCAGCGCGCUGGAGGCGAAGGGGCUGCGCCAUUCCGGGUCAGGCAGCCAACGCGGGACACGCGCGUCUCCGAGCUUGCGGCCCGCGAAACCCGGGUGACCUACCGCGCCGGUGCCCUCAAAGCCCCCACGCCCGGGCCGGUGGCCGCUGCAGCCACUGAGCCACGCGGUCUCCCCGGCCCGGUCGGCAGAAGGAGCUGGUCCGUUACUAGAAAAGUCCAGAUGCAAAGUCGGGGGUCGUGCUGCCGCUUCCUGCCAGCGCACCGCACCCACCUGGGGCCGCCACCGACCGCACAGGACGCGCCUCCUACCCCCUGUUCUGGCCCGGCCGAGAGCUGGUGCCCCCAGCGGCCGCCCGCCCCCGUCCGCAGACCCCGGGGCCCUUGCUGCUUUGCAUUGGGAACAACCGGAGCCAGGCCCGGAGCUGAGGGGGCCAGGGCCUUUGGAGGAAGCAUUGGCCUCCAGGCUGAAGAGCAAGGGCCGUGUCACCUGCCCGGAGGGCGGUCUCAUCUCUGCAGCCAGGUCAGAGGAAGCAGCGGUGGGGAGACGGAGUGCGCGAGUUGGGAGGCUCCACGCAUCGUAGGUGGAGAGCUGGCUGCCAGCCUGGCCUGCCCUCUCUUCCCCGUCCCACCAUCUCGCUUGGCUCCGGCACCUGCCUGGGAAGACCCACACCUCCGUCUGCAGUGCCUCUUCCCCCUGGAGGCCCUGCCCUCCGCUCGGGGUCCCCGCAUCCUUCCGUGGCCCUCAGAGCAUCGCCUGGGGCGCCCGCGGAACUCAUCUGUUAGGCCUGGGAUGCAGGCAGGCAGAAGUGGGGGUUUAAGUGGAAGCAGUGAGGGUGGGGGUCCGGUCCAAACUGUGCCACCUUCCACCCCCUGCCCCUGGGAGAGCAGACAUCGCCCACUCGGGCUCACAGUGCCAUCCGGGUGAGGACCUCCGUGGAGAGCUCUCUUUGCCAAAGAAAAGCAGUUGCAUUAGGUCUGCGAGCAGGCAGGGUGGCCUCUUCCUGGCUCCCCAUCCACCAAGGAAGCUUCAAGUCCCUGGGACACAGGAGCAGUGCUUUCUGGGCCUCUGUAGCCAGAGCUGGCCCUGCUGCAGCUUACGUCUGCCUGCAGCCCAGACGUCCUCCUGGUCCUCCUGAUGCCCCCGACCUCCACGGAGGACGAGCAUUUCCAGCCCAGCCCUCCCCAUCUUCACCUCGCACUCCCCUGACACACUGGGAGCCUCCUGAUCCGUGAACCCGCGCUGGCGGGAGUAGCUACUGACCGCUGGGGACCCCUGCCCAGGCUGUUCGCAUGUGGAAAGGAUUCAGGGAGCAGGCGAUGCCCAAAGCGUGGAGACCAGCACUGCUCUCUCCCCAGUGACAGGUGCACGCCCAGAUCACGGAUGUGUCGGGAACAGCUGUGCUCCUGCUGCUCAGCGUCCGUCACUCCAGGCUGGGAGCGGGUCCCCAAGCUUCUGGCUGGGCCUAUCCGUCUCCACUCUCAGUGUGGGGGUGGGGGGCGCCAACAGCACGCAUUUGCUCUCUGCACUUCUCGUCUGAUAAUGGGCAGAGGGUCCUUCUGCAGCCCCAAAACAUCCCUAGGCAGGAGCCCUGGGGCCCCAAGCAGCCAGGGAGGUGAGCACCAAGGACCUCCCAGAGAGCGUCACCUUCCGUCGAGGGAGGCCCAGCCUGGGGGCGGUGUCUGAGACUUGGAAUCAACGCUUCCGUUGGUGGCAGUAAAUCCUGUCCCUAACCCUGCAGUACAGCUGUGCCGUGUACAGGAGGGUGCUGUCUGACGCCAGACACCUGGACUACAGAUCGCAGCCUGAUUCCUGGUCAUUGCUCCACUGAACCCCAGACCCCAGCCUCGUUCUGGGCCCUCAUCCCCUAGAUCCAGGGACCCCAGCCCCAUUUCAGCCCUUGGGCCCUUGUAGGAUGCGAGGCCCUGGGCCCCAGCCCCCAGCCCAUCCGUGGCCCAGGCACUGGGGGGCUGAGGUCCUCUGAGAAGGGACACAGGGCCUGGGGGGCUCUCUCAGCCCAUCAGCAGGAGAGGACUGACUCCAGAAAAAUCAGCGUUUGUACCCACUCAGGCUGCCAAGACCUGUGUCCGUCCUUCCAAGCUCAACCUUCAGAGUUCAUGAGGCCCCUUGCCCAGAAUGUCCACAGAGUUCAUGAGGCCCCUUGCCCGGAAUGUCCACAUUUGAAACCUCCCAACACCGAGCCCCAUUUCAAGUAUAACCAGGAGGGAAAAUGGUGCUUGAAAUAAGCAUGCCACAAAGGAAAACCUGCUUUCUCGAAAUGGGCCCUGGCCGCCCAGGCCCUGACCUCCCCGGCCAGGAUGGAACGUUCCAGAGACCCAUUAGUGCCAAAGGCAAAUGAAAACACACCCUG
ensembl:lncRNA CEROX1 cytoplasmic endogenous regulator of oxidative phosphorylation 1